CCUACGGGAGGCUGCAGUGGGGAAUAUUGCACAAUGGGCGCAAGUCUGAUCCAGCAACGCCGCGUGAAGGAAGAAGGUUUUCGGGAUGUAAACUUCUUUUAAUUGGGAAGAGCAGACUACGGUACCCAUUGACUAUGCCCUGGCUAACUACGUUCAAGGAGCCUCGGUAAACUGUAGGUGGCAAGCGUCGUCCGUAUUUACUGGGCGUAAAGGCUCUGCAGCUGGAGAGCCAAAUCAGAUGUCAAACCGACGGGCUCAACCCGUGAACUGCAUUUGAAACUGUUUACCUUGAGUGUCGGAGAGGUAAUCGGAAUUCCUAGUGUAGCGGUGAAAUGCGUAGAUAUUAGGAAGAACACCAGUGGCGAAGGCGGAAUACUAGACGAUAACUGACGGUGAGGCGCGAAAGCGUGGGGAGCAAACAGGAUUAGAUACCCGUGUAGUC
rnacentral:rRNA from 1 species